GAGUGUGAGGGGGAUCUGGCCGCAAUGACUGUCACAUUACUGAUUGCCAGACUGAUUCAGCAGAUGUAGCUGGCGAGGCGGGUGUCCCCUUUCUCCCUCACUGUUCCUUGGGCAUCCCUGCUGAAGCUGCUCCCUAGAUUCAAGAGGACCUUCUCUGACCAAGGACUGUUCUUUGGACAAGUGUAUACAAUAGCUGUGCUUCCCUGCUAAAAACUCCAAAUGAGCUCUCAAGAAACAUCUCAUGGUACAGCUACAUCGUCAAUACAGCACUGUGCCAUAUCCAGAUAGCAGUUUCAAUGUUUCCACCCUUCAAAUUUUCU
rnacentral:snRNA from 1 species